GGGGAAUAUUGGACAAUGGGCGCAAGCCUGAUCCAGCCAUGCCGCGUGAGUGAUGAAGGCCCUAGGGUUGUAAAGCUCUUUCACCGAUGAAGAUAAUGACGGUAGUCGGAGAAGAAGCCCCGGCUAACUUCGUGCCAGCAGCCGCGGUAAUACGAAGGGGGCUAGCGUUGUUCGGAAUUACUGGGCGUAAAGCGCACGUAGGCGGAUCGGUCAGUUAGGGGUGAAAUCCCAGGGCUCAACCCUGGAACUGCCUCUAAUACUGCUGGUCUAGAGUUCGAGAGAGGUGAGUGGAAUUCCGAGUGUAGAGGUGAAAUUCGUAGAUAUUCGGAGGAACACCAGUGGCGAAGGCGGCUCACUGGCUCGAGACUGACGCUGAGGUGCGAAAGCGUGGGGAGCAAAC
rnacentral:rRNA from 1 species